UCCUCUCUGAGUCUCCCUUGUUCUUCUAUUGAUGCCUCCAUCUUUUUCCAUCGAUGCUAAUCUUUGAAUUAGCUAGAAGGAAACCCUAGGGCCUUCAUCUUUACCUACAUCCAACAACUCCAACCCUUCUUCGUUUGUCGAACAUAACUCGGGCUUUAAUCUGCAAGAAAACCUCAACUGCAUCCUCUACAUGAAAAAAACCCCUAAUUAGCAGCCACAUGUUGAUGUUAGGUACCCUUGAGAUGAAAGCCUCAUUUUGAUGUAGAGAUCCCCUUGGGCUCUAAUGUUAGGGUCGAUUUCUCAUACAUUUAGUUCUUACAUCCCCUCUCACCAAACCCUUAGCAUCCCAAAAUAACCCUAGUCUUCCGUUCUUUCAUCUUAGUGACUAGGUUACCGUCGACAUUACCUCAAGUGUUUUCAAUUGUUGAGUUCGGCUGCCACAAAUACGCUCUGUGUUUUCUCUUUGCUCCUACUAAUGGUUUGAACUAAGGUAUUGUUACAAUUUUAUUUUCUCCUCUGCCCAUAGGAGAAAAGGAAGGCACAAUUCGAUUUGGGUAUUAUCUCUUUGCUCCUACUAACGAUCGUAUUCUCCAAUUUGCAAUGAAAACGAAGGCACAAUUCGAUUUGGGUAUAAUCACCGCCUACUUGAGCCCUAAUUUUCGAUUUUCGUUAUCGUACCUCUACUUUCUUCUAUGUUUUUUAUUUUGGAGUCGUGAAGGACCAACCCUACCAGAAGAGUCUGUAUUGGAUUCGAUUUUUGGUGUUGAAGGCUUAAUUUGGGGUUUUUCAACACAUGUCUAAAACAUUAGCAGAUGGAAAUCUGUCUUUGGACAAAAGAGGGGAAUAUUGAAGAACAUUCUCAGCUCCUUUGUGAAAUCACCCCGGAACAACACUUAUGGAGCCCAAGUAUCAAGAACCCACAAAGCACUAGCUUUUUUUAACAUACUUAAAGAUCAUAUACAGGCUGUUUCAAUAGCCAAUCUUGGAGACAUUCAAGAUACACACUCCUCCAAGCUUAGGCUAACGAAUUCUACUGAGGUAUACGAGGCACUUGAACAUCGAUUAGUUAUUGCAGAAGCUGCUCAGAGGCUGAGACUUCCUUUAAUUUCAAAAGAUGGUGAGGUUCAUGAGGAAGAAAUAGAGAAAUGGAGUGGAUUUUCAAGUAAUUACACAAACAUUAGCCCUGAAUCUGCAGUUGGUGGUGUUCCUAAUUGAUUUCUUGGAAUAACACCUGCUUAUUUAUGGCAAACUCGGGACCAACAUGCACCAUUACCUAUGGUAACUUCAUUUCAUCAUGUCUUUUUUCCCCUCAAGUUUAGUUUUUUUUAUAUAUAUAAUAUUGAUCAACUGUAGUAGGAUGUGGGAGAAUACCAAAUGCCACUUCUUCGUGAGAUUGAGAUCCAUUUAAAGGCUAAAUGUGACAUGUUGGCUGAUGCUUUUAUUGAUGAUUUGGGUCAGCCUCUUGAUACUCAAAAGAAGCUAAAGAGGCGUAUCUAAGAAGAGAUCAUGCAACUGCACAAGAAUUUUCCUUAAAGGCUAUACAAGAAUGGAGUGCUUCAGAAUAACUUAAUGCAAAAGCAGCAAAUGAAUUUUUAGCAAUUAGAAACUGUGAAAAUGAUGGUUGGAAAUUGGAUUUGCAUGGUCUUCAUGCAUCAGAAGCAGUGCAAGUUUUACAACAACACUUACUCAAGAUCGAAGCUCAUGUGUCAACAAACCCUAAACAGCAACAACAACAAUUAUCUAAGUGAAGAUUGUUAGAAGUCAUUACAGGGAAAGGUAGUUAUAGCCGGCACAAGCAACACUUCCAAUAGCAACAAAAAGCUUUCUCACUGAAAAAGGUAGGCUUGACAUUGGAGAUUUAAAAUCGGUUCAAUUGUGUACAAUAUUAUUGAUUUGACAAAGCUUCAGACAAAAAUGAUUUUCAGCAUUUGAUUUGUGAUUUACGAUUAUGAGAAAUGGAAGAUCUGUUGUAUAAGGAGCUAUGGAAGGCAUGUGCGGUUCCACUAGUAUAUGUUCCAAGAGAUGGAGAAUGAGUUUUCUACAUGGAGCAAUUAGAGGAAUCCAACAAUCAGGGAAUCAAUUAGAGUAUUCCUCAGUUCAAUCUAAAAAUCAAAGAUUCUAUGUCGUGUUGUUUAUACUCGGCUUCUGGCUGAACAAGAUACAUAUGAAGUUUAUGCUCAAAUCACUCUACUUCCAGAAGCAGAUCAAAGUGAUCCUACUGGUCUUGAUAAAUGCAUUGACGACCCUCCAAAGGCAAGUAUCCACUCUUUCUGCAAAGUCUUAACAGCUUCAGACAUAAGAACUCAUGGUGGUUUUUCAGUGCUCAGAAAAAACGCAAAUGAAUGCCUUCCCACAUUGAACAUGUCGCAACCUCCUCCUACUUAAGAAGUUGUAGUUAAAGAUCUUCAUGGGACUGAUCAACCCAAUUGGAUUCACAUUUCUAGAAAAGAAAACACCAACACUCCAUGGCUAAUAAGAAUAAAAAAAUAAAGAUAUGAGGAAAAAAAGGUAAAAUAAACUCGUAUGUAUGGAUAUGAUUUGUAUGGUAAUUAAAUUUAGAGUGUAUGUAUGUUUUGGUUUGCAUGCAGUCUUUGUUUGGCAGCUUAGACAAACUUUAUAGCACCAGAUCGUCCAUGUCACUCUUGGUAAAACAAAUUUAGAGUGUACUUCUUCCAUUCAUGUUAGUAAUUUGUCAUUAUGAUGUGUUUUUUCUUGUGCAAUUUUAUUUUUAGGACGUAUUUUACUUUAUUAAAUGUCUAAAGUUACAGGACAUGAUUAUGGGCACAUCAUGGAACAUUUUAGGGCAGUUGUUGAUUUUCCUCUUGGUGAUCCAUCAAUGAAGUGGCCAACUUGCAUCAUGUAAUAACAUUUUAGGGGAAGAUGUAGGUAUAUGUUUUCUUAAUGAAUAAUGUAAUCAUAUGUACGAAUAUGAAAUAAAGUUUGUUAUUUUGUAUGUGCUAAUCAUGUAUAGGUAGAAAACAACCUCUAUUGACUUGUUUUAUCUUUCCAUGGAUCGAUUAUUUGUAUGACAUUAAAUUUUAUGCAAUGGAUUGUA